GACGAACGCUGGCGGCGUGCUUAACACAUGCAAGUCGAACGGUAAGGCCCUUCGGGGUACACGAGUGGCGAACGGGUGAGUAACACGUGGGUGAUCUGCCCUGCACUUCGGGAUAAGCCUGGGAAACUGGGUCUAAUACCGGAUAGGACCACUGCCUGCAUGGGUGGUGGUGGAAAGCUUUUGCGGUGUGGGAUGGGCCCGCGGCCUAUCAGCUUGUUGGUGGGGUGAUGGCCUACCAAGGCGACGACGGGUAGCCGGCUUGAGAGGGUGACCGGCCACACUGGGACUGAGAUACUGCCCUGACUCCUACGGGAGGCAGCAGUGGGGAAUAUUGCACAAUGGGCGCAAGCCUGAUGCAGCGACGCCGCGUGAGGGAUGACGGCCUUCGGGUUGUAAACCUCUUUCAGCACCGACGAAGCGCAAGUGACGGUAGGUGCAGAAGAAGGACCGGCCAACUACGUGCCAGCCGCCGCGGUAA
rnacentral:rRNA from 1 species